rnacentral:misc_RNA from 1 species
GAUGAAGAACGUAGCGAAAUGCGAUAAGUAAUGUGAAUCGCAGAAUUCAGUGAAUCAUCGAAUCUUUGAACGCACAUUGCGCCCCUUGGUAUUCCGAGGGGCAUGCCUGUUCGAGCGUCAUUAUAACCCCUCAAGCUCAGCUUGGUGUUGGGGCCUGCUGCACUGGCAGCCCUUAAAAUCAGUGGCGGCGCCAUCUGGCUCUAAGCGUAGUAAUUCUUCUCGCUAUGGAGUCCUGGUGGAUGCUUGCCAUCAACCCCCAAUUUUUCUAUGGUUGACCUCGGAUCAGGUAGGGAUACCCGCUGAACUUAAGCAUAUCAAUAAGCGGAGGA